UAGGGAAUCUUCGGCAAUGGACGAAAGUCUGACCGAGCAACGCCGCGUGAGUGAAGAAGGUUUUCGGAUCGUAAAACUCUGUUGUUAGAGAAGAACAAGGACGUUAGUAACUGAACGUCCCCUGACGGUAUCUAACCAGAAAGCCACGGCUAACUACGUGCCAGCAGCCGCGGUAAUACGUAGGUGGCAAGCGUUGUCCGGAUUUAUUGGGCGUAAAGCGAGCGCAGGCGGUUUCUUAAGUCUGAUGUGAAAGCCCCCGGCUCAACCGGGGAGGGUCAUUGGAAACUGGGAGACUUGAGUGCAGAAGAGGAGAGUGGAAUUCCAUGUGUAGCGGUGAAAUGCAUAGAUAUAUGGAGGAACACCAGUGGCGAAGGCGGCUCUCUGGUCUGUAACUGACGCUGAGGCUCGAAAGCGUGGGGAGCAAACAGG
rnacentral:rRNA from 3 species